GUGUCAGCAGCCGCGGUAAUACGGAGGAUGCGAGCGUUAUCCGGAUUUAUUGGGUUUAAAGGGUGCGCAGGCGGGAUUUUAAGUCAGCGGUGAAAUUUUCAGGCUCAACCUGAACACUGCCGUUGAAACUGGGAUUCUUGAGUAUGGAUGAAGUAGGCGGAAUUCGUUGUGUAGCGGUGACAUGCUUAGAUAUAACGAGGAACUCCGAUUGCGUAGGCAGCUUACUAAGCCAUAACUGACGCUCAAGCACGAAAGCGUGGGGAUCAAACAGGAUUAGAUACCCUGGUAGUCCACGCCGUAAACGAUGAUUACUAGUUGUUUGCGAUAUACCGUAAGUGACUAAGCGAAAGCGAUAAGUAAUCCACCUGGGGAGUACGCCGGCAACGGUGAAACUCAAAUAAAUUGACGG
rnacentral:rRNA from 1 species